rnacentral:rRNA from 1 species
CCUACGGUGGGGCAGCAGUGAGGAAUAUUGGUCAAUGGGCGCGAGCCUGAACCAGCCAAGUAGCGUGAAGGAUGACUGCCCUACGGGUUGUAAACUUCUUUUAUAAAGGAAUAAAGUGAGGCACGUGUGCCUUUUUGUAUGUACUUUAUGAAUAAGGAUCGGCUAACUCCGUGCCAGCAGCCGCGGUAAUACGGAGGAUCCAAGCGUUAUCCGGAUUUAUUGGGUUUAAAGGGUGCGUAGGCGGAUUGAUAAGUUAGAGGUGAAAUGUCCGAGCUUAACUCGGGAACUGCCUCUAAUACUGUUGAUCUAGAGAGUAGAUGCGGUAGGCGGAAUGUAUGGUGUAGCGGUGAAAUGCUUAGAGAUCAUACAGAACUCCGAUUGCGAAGGCAGCUUACUAAACUGCCACUGACAUUGAUGCUCGAAAGUGUGGGUAUCAAACAGGAUUAGAUACCCGAGUAGUC